UCAAACAAAACACAAUGUACACCCUGUAUAAACAAUAUCUCGGCACAAAAUUACUGCCUUAAAAGCAAUGUCGACAAAAACGAGACUAAAUUUGGGUCAGCGCUGAGGUUUUGGAACUUAGCAACUCGAAUGAGAAUCACAGUCAGCAGCUUUAGGUAUGGAAUAAUCCUCAACAACAGAGCGCUUAUUUUGAAGCUGUGUAAGAACCCCCAUUUCAUCUCAGGAAGCCUUAUAUGUACAUAUAUCUUCAAUAGAAUAUUUCUAAAACGGAUUUUUGUUUGAUGCCAACUUACCAGCCAAUUGAU